CCUACCUGUACCCCAAAUUGCUCCUCAACUUGCAUCACACCCAAACCUGUCCUGGAAUGCUCCCUCUUUCCGACCCCAAGUCCGAAUUGUCCCCCCACUCCCAUCACAACCUUGGGCUGCUCCACCAGUCCCACAGAUAUCUCAGAAUGCUUCAGCACUCCCACCAAAAUCUCAGUCUGCUUCAUCACUCUCUCCCCGGACUGCUCAACCUCCCCUUCCACAACCCCAGAUUGUUCCCCCUCUCCUACCCAAACGCCAGACUGGUCUACCUCCCCCACUUCAACCCCAGACUGCUGCACCCCCUCUCCCACCACAAUCCCGGACUGCUUCAGCGGUACAUAUAAAAUGGAAAGGUUUUGGUCAAACUCAACCAAGUGGGCACAAGUGUUUGAUAUGCAAGAGGGAUCUUUCCUUCACACCUGAAGGCCCUGUUUCCAUACCAACUAUUCAACCAGUUGUUGCUGUUCUACCGUGUGGCCACACAUUUCAUGACCACUGCUUGCAGCUUAUCACCCCUGCAGACCAAGCUAAAAAUCCUCCGUGCAUUCCUUGUGCCAUCGGUGACAAUUGAUUCCUUGUGCCGUUGGUGAGAGUUGACUUGUGCCCUGGGAGAGUGUUGAUUCGAGUCUUGGUUCAUAACAUGUUGAAUCCUCCAUGCCUUGUGGCACUAGUCAUGAGAAAUUCCUCUUCUAAAUUUUGUUCGAACAGUCGGUAGCAGGGGAAAGAUUUGUGGUGACAAUUUCAGACCUGCUUUACCUUUUCAUUAAGGCUCAUAAGGUGAUUUGGUGCAUAAGUAUAUAUAGCUCAUUAAGAAUUGUAUAGGCGAGUAACCCUUUCGUUAGAAUGAUGUGUACUUUUGAAUUAUAUCAGCUCAAUUUCCGGCCCUUGAGUUCUACCUCUUA